GAUUUCUGUCUGCGCUUUGAACGUCCGCGUUCCAAAAGGGAUGUGAGUUUACGUUUGAAGCCGGUCAAAAUUUCUGGAAUUCCGUGAUGCUCUUCAUUGAGUUGUCGCGUGAGAUCCAGAUCGUUUACUUUGAGAAAAUUAGAGUGUUCAAGGCAGGCAUUUAUGCCGUGAAUAUGCUAGCAUGGAAUAAUAAGAUAGGGCUUUGGUCGUAUUUUGUUGGUUUCUACAGCCGAAGUAAUGAUUGAUAGGGAUAGUUGGGGGUGCUAGUAUUCUGCGGCCAGAGGUGAAAUUCUGUGAUUCGCGGAGGACUGACUUAUGCGAAAGCAUU
rnacentral:rRNA from 1 species